rnacentral:rRNA from 1 species
UACGAAGGGGGCUAGCGUUGCUCGGAUUUACUGGGCGUAAAGGGCGCGUAGGCGGACAGUUAAGUUGGGGGUGAAAGCCCGGGGCUCAACCUCGGAAUUGCCUUCAAUACUGGCUGUCUUGAGUGUGAGAGAGGUGUGUGGAACUCCGAGUGUAGAGGUGAAAAUUCGUAGAUAUUCGGAAGAACACCAGUGGCGAAGGCGACACACUGGCUCACUACUGACGCUGAGGCGCGAAAGCGUGGGGAGCAAACAGG